ensembl:lncRNA
AGAUAUAAAGAGAGAAAGAGAGAGAGAGAGAAAGAGAGAUAUACAGAGAGAGAGAGAGAAAGAGAGAGAGAGAAAUAGAGAUAUAAAGAGAGAGAAAAGUAAGAGUAAUGAUGGAAGGUGACAGAAGUCCUCCACCUGUUCUACUCUCUCACCCCUCCUCACCCCCUCACCCCUCCUCAUCAUGACUGUCCUGGCCUUGUCCCAACAGCUGAAACAAUGUCCCCAAACAGACUUCUCUUCUCCCCCACUCUGUCUCCCCUGAGUCUCCUAUGACCAAUCCAGCCACCGACUCUAGCCAUAGAAGAGAGGCCAGUGGAGUCAGGAGAUUUCACGGGGCUGGAGGCUGAACUGAAGAACAGGCAGGAGGCUGAACUGAAGAACAGGCUGGAGGCUGAACUGAAGAACAGGCAGGAGGCUGAACUGAAGAACAGGCUGGAUGCUGAACUGAAGAACAGGCUGGAGGCUGAACUGAAGAACAGGCUGGAGGAAUGGGGGGGGGGCAGCCAUAUGUUGUUACACACAGACACACAGACUGUCUGUAGUUACAGCCACUUCCUCUCUGCAGCUCAGUCAGCUGAAAACACCAUCCAUCUCCUCCUAACCACGCACUACAAACACCUAGAAGCACAGACUGUCUGGAGUUAUGCUGAACCUUUCCCACUAUGAAUACCAGGUUAACUGAGGGACAGACAGUGUGGUGAAGAAGGAGCAACAGCACCUCUUUAACCUCAGGAGGCUGAAGAAAUUCAGCUCGGCCCCUGACUUCUACAGAUGCACCAUUGAGAGCAUCCUGUCAUGCUGUAUCACCGCCUGGUAUUGCAAUCGCACCGUCCACAACCGCAGGAGACAUGUGAGAUGGUGCGGUCAGCCUAACGCAUCACCGGGGGCACACUGCCUGCCCUCCAGGACAACUACAGCCCCCGGUGUCACAGGAAGGCCAAGGAUAUCAUUAAGGACCUCAGCCACCCGAUCCAAGACCUGUUCACCCCGCUAUCAUCUAGAAGGCAAGGUCAGUACAGGUGCAUCAAAGCUGGAACCAAGAUACUGAAAAACAGCUUCUAUCUCCAGGCCAUCAGACUGUUAAAUAGUUCAGGGCAGGUAACUAGGCUCCACCCAGUACCCUGCCCUGAACCUUAAUCACUGUUACCACCCUCCCCCCAGUACCCUGCCCUGAA